GCCGGGUGGCGCAUGCGGAGUGUUUUGGGGUGUUCGGGGUUUUCCCUGCCCGGGGCCGGUGCUACCGCGGGGGAGAGGCUGCAGCCCUGGAAAGCAUCCCUGGGUGAGGGCAGCGGGCACCGCAAAAAAAUCCACGCGUCUUUUCCUGGCCGCUCGGGACGCCGCUUCACGGUGCCCCCAGCCCGAGCUGUCCGACCGUGUUCUUCACCUCCUGUCAAUCAGGGUGAACUUGCUCGCCUUGUUUGUGCUCCGGCGGGUCGGUUUUGACUUACCCCUGUGGUAUGUGGAAGCGCCGACUCCAAUAAACUAUUAACUCUUUCCCGUGCUGCCAUCAGGCUAGGUUUUGCCGGGGACGGCUCCCCCGCCCUUUUAAGGAAAAGCCGGAACCGGGCUUGCAGAGUGCGAUGCACGCUUGUGGUCACAGCCCCUCCGGGAGCACCAGCGAACCCCCGCCGGACUCUCCUCAGGGUCCGGCGGACGGCUGGGACAUCCCGAGGGGGGAGUGACGUCCGCUCGCCUCAGGGAUUCCUUUGUCACGCCGCCCGCUGCCGUCUCGUCCGGGUUCCUGUCUGCGGAGCCCGCUCCAUCUUCCCAUCGGUCUCGGUCCCCCGCUCCAGCCGCGCUCCAGCCGCUGGGCUUCGCACCUUCCUUGCCGCCGCACCACACCUCUGCCCGCCACCGCCCCCCGCAGCUGCUUCUCUGGCGGGAUGUUUGGAGAGAAUCCGAGCGCCGGCCUUCCACCGGUGGUUCCCGGCUAUUUCCCCGACGAUCGGAUGCCGGCUUGAUCGACUUCCCUUCGCAAGGUGCCGGCGGGAUCGCGCCCGGAUUAAGUCAAUUUAGGGGAAGGCAAGAACAUGGUUCAUACAUUCCCGGACGCAGUCAUGAGCAGGGUGAGAAUCAGUAACAUCUACCGGAAUGUGAUCGAGGCCGAGAGAGCGAGCGGGGAGGGACAAGUAGCAGCGACUCACUGAUGCCACCACCAGUGCCACCCCCGGCUCCCGAAGGCUCCCGGCCCCACUCCCACCAGAGCCCCCGGAGAGCAGAGGGGGCUCGGUUUCAGGGAGGCUCUUUCCCUGCUCUUCCCUCCCGUGCUGCUUCUCUCCCUUCUACCCUCUCCGUGACCCCGAGCCCGUCGCUGCGAGAGCAGGGUGCGGUGUGGAGGAUGGCGAUGGCCCCGUGUAGCGACAGAACCGCGUGAAGCACUCAGGGCGGGCACAUGGGUGAGUCCUGUCUGACAGCUCCUGCAUGGACGGGUGCCCCCAGCACGACCCCUGCCCGUGGGUCAGUCCGUGGGUGCUGCCGCGCCAAGGCUGCUGCUGCCGCCGGGCUGCUGCUCCGGGUCUGCGCGAAUGGCAAAGCGGUGUGCAGGCAGAGCGGGCACCUGUGCCAUGAAACCACGUGGGGAAGGGCCGCGGGUGACGGCAUAGGGCUCGGGGAGGUUCCCGGGUCACUGUCUGUCUGAGAACAGCACAACCACCAGCUCGCAGGUCCCCACAGAGUCACGUACAGGUAAACUGGUCUUAAAAAGAAGCACUUGGUUAAGUUCCAGCAGAGAAGAUGCCUCGACUCAUGCACUAUCUUCCAAAAAUGUCACCAUUUGCAAACUCAUUCCGUUCAUCUGUGCAUGUUUCUGAUUACGUUCAGUGCCCCAAAUAGUGAAAACGGCAAUAGAAUUUAUUGGUCAUAAAUUAUUGUACACGACUCUUUCACCAGGCUGAAAUCUAUGAAUGGCUCAGUACUGGCUCAAGUCUGUUUUUCUAGUCGCAGGAGAAACACUUUUUUUCGAAGGUCUCUUUUUCAAAGAGCUUUCCCCCUCCUCUCCCUUAAGGUUUGCGGCAACCACUGACUACUAAAAUAACCACCCGUGGUUAUUCAGCGAUGCUGGUAGUUACAGGGGGUCUGCCUUUCCCUGGUAAUCUGCUUUCAAGACAGUUCCAAGUGAUGGGAACUCUUAUCAGUUCCGCUUGGAGCAAGGUUGGACUCGUGUAAGGAACGACCGGAGGGUCCCAGGUCUCCCCCGGUUCGAGGCGGCCGCGGCGCGGGGGAGGAGGCUGCUCUCCCCGCGGGGAUUUCCGCGGCCGCGGUGCGGAGCGGCUGCCUGCAUAGCCCUUCCACACACAGGCACACACACAGACACACUCAGACACACUCACAAACGCAGAGGCACAGACACUCUCUCGGAGAGCCUUCAAAUCCCCAAGCACAGAAAGGGAAGGCUUUAUCGGAGUUUAGUUACUUAUCUGCAUUUUUGUUAAACCGCUGCUGUGAUCUCCGCGUAGUUGUGCGAGUGUGUUAAUUGUUCUGAUAAUGUGUUGUUAUCGAUACAAUAACAAUACAGUCGUGUAUAAUGUGA